rnacentral:rRNA from 1 species
UCGGGGAGGACGCUCACCACUUUGUGGUUCAUGACUGGGGUGAAGUCGUAACAAGGUAGCCCUAGGGGAACCUGGGGCUGGAUCACCUCCUUAUACGAAGAUAC